AACGAACGCUGGCGGCAUGCCUAACACAUGCAAGUCGAACGAUUGCCUUCGGGUGAUAGUGGCGCACGGGUGCGUAACGCGUGGGAAUCUGCCCUUAGGUUCGGAAUAACAGCUGGAAACGGCUGCUAAUACCGGAUGAUAUCGCGAGAUCAAAGAUUUAUCGCCUGAGGAUGAGCCCGCGUUGGAUUAGGUAGUUGGUGGGGUAAAGGCCUACCAAGCCGACGAUCCAUAGCUGGUCUGAGAGGAUGAUCAGCCACACUGGGACAGAGACACGGCCCAGACUCCUACGGGAGGCAGCAGUGGGGAAUAUUGGACAAUGGGCGCAAGCCUGAUCCAGCAAUGCCGCGUGAGUGAUGAAGGCCCUAGGGUUGUAAAGCUCUUUUACCCGGGAAGAUAAUGACUGUACCGGGAGAAUAAGCCCCGGCUAACUCCGUG
rnacentral:rRNA from 1 species